rnacentral:lncRNA from 1 species
GUGAUUAGGCAUGACAUGGAGCAACUGCAGCUUACUGAGGACAUGACCCUAGACAGGAAGGUAUGGAGGUCGCGGAUUAGGGUUGAAGGCUAGUGUGAGUGUGUGGGUUGUGGCUAGGUGUUAGGAGAGUGUGGGGGUGGUAGUCCUCUUAGGUCUGUGAGUGUAUUGUUUACUACUAGGAAAGUAUCCAUUUUCCUAUUUCUUAUUUACUAUUGCUUGUACUUUACUUAUUUUGU